AAUCAAUCACCUCCUUUAUCAUGCUUUGACAUUCUAGACCACGACCUGCCUUCCUUAAUCACCUCAGAUCCAGGUGCCAGAGAAGUAAAGGCAGCCCCCACACCCCAGAGCCAGCUGAAAUUACUCACAUUAGUAUGUUGAGCUGUUUACCUUCGCUUGCAGGUUCCUUCCUUGGCAACCAAAAUAAAGGCUCCUGCCCACAAUUUCUACUGCUACCUCCUCCUUCUGGUUGAACCCAGUGCUUCUCUGUGUGGCCUUUCAUGGCAUGGCAUAAAUUUUUCUCUUUGGAUCUGUUGGAACCAUUUGGAGAAUUCAGAAGAUGGUAAGAAAAGGUGGGAAAGUUUGGAACCUCCAAAGGACUUGUUGAAUUCUUCAACAAAAAUGCUGAUAGUGAUAUAUGAACAAUAUGGUCUAGGCCUAGGUAUUCUCAGAUGGAGACAAGAAACUUAUUGAGACCUGGAGCAAAGAUGGCACUGGUUACAUUUUAGCAAAGAGACUGGUAGCGUAUUGCCUCUUCCCUAGACCUUUGCACAAUUUUGAACUUGAGAGAGAUGAUUUAGGGUAUCUAGAAGAAGAAAUUUCUAAGCAGCAAAGCAUUCAAAAGAUGACUUAGGUUCUGUUAAAAACAUUCCAUUUUAAAAGGGAAACAGAGCAUAAAAGUUCAGAAAAUUUGCAGCCUGGCAGUGCAGUAGAAAAGAAAACCCCAUUUUUUGAGGAGAAAUUCAAGCUGGCUGCAGAAAUUUGCAUAAGUAGCAAAGCGCUUAAUGCUAAUCACCAGGAUCAUGGGGAAAAUAUUUCCUGGCCACAUCAGAGACCUUCUCGGAAGCCCCUCCCAUCACAGACCCAGAGGCCCAGGAGGCAAAAAUGGUUUCCUGGGCUAGGCCCAAGGUCUCUGUAGUGUGUGCAGCCUAGGGUCUUGGUGUCCUGUGUCCCAGCCACUCCAGAUGUGGCUGAAAGGGGCUAAUAUAGAGCUCAAGUUGUGGCUUUAGAGGGUAGGAGUCCAAAGCCUUGGCAGCUUCCAUGUGGUGUUGAGCCUGUGGGUACACAGAAGUCAAGAAUUGAGGUUUUGGAACCUCUGCCUUGAUUUCAGAAGAUACAUGGAAAUGCCUGGAUGCUUG
rnacentral:lncRNA from 1 species